GAGGGUGUAGCUCAAGUGGUAGAGUGCAUGCUUAGCAUGCAUAAAGUCCUAGGUUCAAUCCCCAGUACCUCCU
rnacentral:tRNA from 1 species